UCAGAUGUUGGUUAAUUAGUAAUAUAGGGAUACUCCACUUGUUAUUGCGACUUUGAUCUAAACAGCUCUGUAAAGCCCAUUUUCACAUUUUUAAAAUAAUAUGCUUUAGCAGCAGGUGAGGAAAACUUAAGGCAUGGCACAUUUAUUGGAAAAGCAGCAGUGGGCGGCUUGGUUUAAUGGCAACACCACUAGAUAACUGUCUAAGGCCCUUUCCAGAUCCAAUGGUCAAGGUAACAGCAGAAACAAAGAAAAUCUCAGAGGUCUCUUCUUAUGUCUCUGCUAACAAUAAAAAGAACAGCUUUUGGGGAAGUGGGCUGCUUUAUCCUGUAGCCCUCCUCAGAUGCCAAGACUGCUGGGCUGGCCACCAGACUCACGUCCUCAAGAGAGUGUCUCACUAUGUUGCCCAGGCUGGUCUCAAAUUCCUGGCCUCAAGCAAUCUUCCCACUUCAGCCUCCCAAAGUGCUGGGACUACAGGCACAUGCCACCAUGCCCAGCCGCAAGUGUUUAUCCCCAUUCCAUAGGGGGUGAAACUGAGGCACAAAAAGAGGAAAUCACCAUCAGGAUAUGCCACUGCAGAGAGAUAUAAGAUGAGAGUAAUUCAGCUUCAUGGGUUAUUUUCAAAAAGUAAGGAAGAAACUGCAACAAGAACUGAAUCACGCUUUACUACAGCAUUGCCUUCUACUUCCUCCACCAGCCAACUGGGAGAUGAACUUUUAUGAGGAGCAGUAUUGAUGGAUUUAAGUUUUCAAUUUUAUGUCAUUUUGUGCUUUCUGGAGGCGGUACAGUGAGCUUGGAAGUUUUUGCCCUGGUAGAGGUGGAGACGAUAUAGCCCAGAAGUUCAGACUGGAGUCAAAGGUUCCGAGUUCAAAGCCCACCCAGCUACUUAUUAACUGAAUGACCCUUAGCGAAGUUGCUUUAACUUUCCUGAUUCAGCUCCUUCAUCUAAACUCUCAGAAUUGUUAGAUCAGUCAUGCUUCUGAACAUGGUGACAGUGAUAGUUUGUGACUGCUGAAACCAGAUCAUAGCAUGCCUUUCUUAGGAAUGCUUGCUCUUGGAAGCCAGCCACCAUGCUGUGAGGAAGAGCAAGCAACACAUGGAGAGGCCACUGUUCCAGCCAACAGCCCCAGCUGAGGUCCCAGCUGACAGGCCGCAUCAAAUCGCCAAGGAUGUGAACAAGUAAAAUGACAAUGGUGGACGUCUCAUUCAUCCUGGAAGACUGACAGAGGAGACAGCUUCAAGGCAAGCAGGGCUUUGGCCAUUUCCCCAGCCCAUCAACCAGCCAAUCACAAAAUCAAAAAACUAGAUACUACAUGGCAACUAACCUUUAAGAAACUACUGCUUGUCAAAUUUUGUUGUAGUAUCAAAGAAGAAUAUCCAUAAUUAUCUGAAAAGGCUAUUAAAAUACUCUUUGCCAAUUA
rnacentral:lncRNA from 1 species